rnacentral:lncRNA from 1 species
AAAUAGGGCGCGCCAUGAAGAAAAAAGAAGAACGAGACGAGACAGGAGACCAUGGAUAUAAUCCUGUAACCUAUGUCUGUAUAUCAGAGAAACAAGCGAUUAUGCACUAUUAACUAAAGACGCGCCUACCCUAUAUGGUAAGUAAUCCAGAUACCACAAACACAUUCAAAGUAUUAAAGCAUCAGAAAAUAAGAUCAAACACAGAUACUUACAUAUAUACACACAAAAGUAUAUGAAGAACAGCG